rnacentral:lncRNA from 1 species
UCGAAUGGAUUAUUCCUAUACCUUCCAUUUGAUGAUACAGAUAUAUCUAUACCUCCCUCCCAUCCAUCGAAUAGAAAGAUUGACUUUUAACCCCGAGAUCUCCUUCCUCCGACUUAAAUCUAACUAUGUGAAGCUUCUAAAUAUAAAAAAAUUUAAAGCUGAAUGAGUGACAAUAAGCUCAGCUACUUGACUUAUCUGUUGUGAUAGCUGUGACAACAAGCUCAAUUGAAUGAGCAAUAAGUAACUAAAAUAUUGACCUUUACAUGUGAAUGCCC